AUUGAACGCUGGCGGCAGGCCUAACACAUGCAAGUCGAACGAGUGGCGGACGGGUGAGUAAUGUCUGGGAAACUGCCUGAUGGAGGGGGAUAACGACUGGAAACGGUAGCUAAUACCGCAUACCAUCAGAUGUGCCCAGAUGGGAGUAGCUUGUUGGUGGGGUAACGGCUCACAAAGGCGACGAUCCCUAGCUGGUCUGAGAGGAUGACCAGACAGACUGGAACUGUGACAGGGUCCAGAAGCCAACGGGAGGAAGAAGUGGGGAAUAUUGGAAAAUGGGAGCAAGCCUGAUGCAGCCAUGCCGCGUGUAUGAAGAAGGCCUUCGGGUUGUAAAGUACUUUCAGCGGGGAGGCGUUACCCGCAGAAGAAGCACCGGCUAACUCCGUGCCAGCCGCCGCGGUAAUAC
rnacentral:rRNA from 1 species